rnacentral:snRNA from 1 species
AGCUUUGCGCAGUGGCAGUAUCGUAGCCAAUGAGGUUUAUCUGAGGCGCGAUUAUUGCUAAUUGAAAAAGAAAUGUGUUAAAGAUUUUAAAUUACAUAGAAAUGGACAGAAAAGUAAAAGGCUUUUCUGGCAUUUUAUUUUUCCUUUAUUUCAACCUUUUCCUCAAAU